UAUAAAUUGUCAUACCAUUCAUCAGGCUUUUUUGCUAAGCCAAAAUCUGCAAUCUUGAGCUGACUUAAAUCUUUUUGAUCAGAAAGGAAAACAAGGAUAUUGGCAAGCUUAAUAUCACAAUGAACAUAUCCAUUAUUAUGUAUGGAUAAUAACCCUUUAAGAAUCAUCUGAGUGUAUCGCCUUACAUCACAUUCAGGUAUUUUUCCUCCACAUUUGUUAAUCAAGUCUGCAAGACUACCAUCAGGAGCAUAUUUCAGUAGGAGAAAGAAUCUAUUAUCAGCGCAGACUUCACAGCAAGCGGUGGGGAAAAAAUAUUGGUCGGUAUGGCCAAGAAGACAGAGCCGUAGGAUCCCUUAACCAAGCACUUCCUGCGAACCCAGUCCAUGGUAAGCGAAUACAGGUUAUAGUAGAUGAUGAGCGAGAAUAGUACCGUAGAAUCCUUUGGUAGGUGGUGUACAUAGAUAGCAUAUAUAAUCCAUUUCCUUGUAGGAUUUAGUAUAUAUAAUCCUUUUCCUUGUAGGAUUUAUUUUUAAUUUCUUUAAGGAAAGAAAGAUAAAUACAUUAAAAGCC